ACGGGUGAGUAAUACAUCGGAACGUGCCCUGUAGUGGGGGAUAACUAGUCGAAAGAUUAGCUAAUACCGCAUACGACCUGAGGGUGAAAGUGGGGGACCGCAAGGCCUCAUGCUAUAGGAGCGGCCGAUGUCUGAUUAGCUAGUUGGUGAGGUAAAGGCUCACCAAGGCGACGAUCAGUAGCUGGUCUGAGAGGACGAUCAGCCACACUGGGACUGAGACACGGCCCAGACUCCUACGGGAGGCAGCAGUGGGGAAUUUUGGACAAUGGGCGAAAGCCUGAUCCAGCAAUGCCGCGUGUGUGAAGAAGGCCUUCGGGUUGUAAAGCACUUUUGUCCGGAAAGAAAUGGCUCUGGUUAAUACCUGGGGUCGAUGACGGUACCGGAAGAAUAAGGACCGGCUAACUACGUGCCAGCAGCCGCGGUAAUACGUAGGGUCCAAGCGUUAAUCGGAAUUACUGGGCGUAAAGCGUGCGCAGGCGGUUGUGCAAGACCGAUGUGAAAUCCCCGAGCUUAACUUGGGAAUUGCAUUGGUGACUGCACGGCUAGAGUGUGUCAGAGGGGGUAGAAUUCCACGU
rnacentral:rRNA from 1 species